rnacentral:rRNA from 1 species
GUCCACGCCGUAAACGAUGGGCACUAGGCGUCGGGGGGAGCGACCCUCCCGGUGCCGUCGCUAACGCAGUAAGUGCCCCGCCUGGGGAGUACGGCCGCAAGGCUGAAACUCAAAGGAAUUGACGGGGGCCCGCACAAGCGGUGGAGCAUGUGGUUUAAUUCGAAGCAACGCGAAGAACCUUACCUGGGCUUGACAUGCAUGGGAAAGCCGGUGGAAACAUCGGUUCCUCUUCGGAGUCCAUGCACAGGUGCUGCAUGGCUGUCGU